UAGGGAAUCUUCCACAAUGGGCGAAAGCCUGAUGGAGCAACGCCGCGUGUGUGAUGAAGGGUUUCGGCUCGUAAACACUGUUGUAAGAGAAGAAUGACAUUGAGAGUAACUGUUCAAUGUGUGACGGUAUCUUACCAGAAAGGAAUGGCUAAAUACGUGCCAG
rnacentral:rRNA from 1 species